AUUGAACGCUGGCGGCAAGCCUAACACAUGCAAGUCGAACAAGUGGCGGACGGGUGAGUAAUGUCUGGGAAACUGCCUGAUGGAGGGGGAUAACUACUGGAAACGGUAGCUAAUACCGCAUACCAUCGGAUGUGCCCAGAUGGGAUUAGCUAGUAGGUGGGGUAAAGGCUCACCUAGGCGACGAUCCCUAGCUGGUCUGAGGGGAUGACAAGAACCACUGGAACUGGGACACGGUCCAGCCCCCUACGGGAGGAAGCAGGGGGGAAUAUUGCACAAGGGGCGCAAGCCUGAUGCAGCAAUGCGGGGUGUAUGAAGAAGGCCUUCGGGUUGUAAAGUACUUUCAGCGGGAAGGCGUUACCCGCAGAAGAAGCACCGGCUAACUCCGUGCCAGCAGCCGCGGUAAUAC
rnacentral:rRNA from 1 species